rnacentral:rRNA from 1 species
UGGGGAAUAUUGCACAAUGGAGGGAACUCUGAUGCAGCGACGCCGCGUGAACGAAGAAGGCUUUCGAGUCGUAAAGUUCUUUUAUAUGGGAAGAUAAUGACGGUACCAUAAGAAAAAGCCCCGGCUAACUACGUGCCAGCAGCCGCGGUAAUACGUAGGGGGCUAGCGUUGUCCGGAAUCACUGGGCGUAAAGAGCUUGUAGGCGGUUUGUCGCGUCGAUAGUGCAAACUCAGUGCUUAACGCUGAGCCUGCUGUUGAUACGGGCAGACUAGAGGAAGGUAGGGGAGAAUGGAAUUCCCGGUGGAGCGGUGGAAUGCGCAGAUAUCGGGAGGAACACCGGUGGCGAAGGCGGUUCUCUGGGCCUUUCCUGACGCUGAGAAGCGAAAGCGUGGGGAGCGAACAGG